rnacentral:rRNA from 1 species
GACGAACGCUGGCGGCGUGCCUAAUACAUGCAAGUCGAACGCUUCCUACCGGUGCUUGCACCGGGAAAGAAGAGUGGCGGACGGGUGAGUAACAUGUGGGUAACCUACCUACAAGCGGGGGAUAACAUUCGGAAACGGAUGCUAAUACCGCAUAGAUCAUUUUGUCUCCUGACAGAAAGAAGAAAGACGGUUUCGGCUGUCAAUUGUAGAUGGCCCCGCGGCGCAUUAGUUAGUUGGUGAGGUAAUGGCUCACCAAGACGAUGAUGCGUAGCCGACCUGAGAGGGUGAUCGGCCACACUGGGACUGAGACACGGCCCAGACUCCUACGGGAGGCAGCAGUAGGGAAUCUUCCGCAAUGGACGAAAGUCUGACGGAGCAACGCCGCGUGAGUGAAGAAGGCCUUCGGGUCGUAAAACUCUGUUAUAAGAGAAGAACAAAUUGUAGAGUAACUGCUACAGUCUUGACGGUAUCUUAUCAGAAAGCCACGGCUAACUACGUGCCAGCAGCCGCAGUAA